rnacentral:rRNA from 1 species
UGGCUCAGGAUGAACGCUAGCGGCAGGCCUAACACAUGCAAGUCGAGGGGUAACAGGGAGAGCUUGCUUUCUGCUGACGACCGGCGCACGGGUGCGUAACGCGUAUACAAUCUGCCUAUCACUGAGGGAUAGCCCGAAGAAAUUUGGAUUAAUACCUCAUAGUAUUAUAGAAUCGCAUGGUUUUAUAAUUAAAGGUUACGGUGAUAGAUGAGUAUGCGUCCUAUUAGCUAGAUGGAGAGGUAAAGGCUCCCCAUGGCUACGAUAGGUAGGGGUCCUGAGAGGGAGAUCCCCCACACUGGUACUGAGACACGGACCAGACUCCUACGGGAGGCAGCAGUGAGGAAUAUUGGACAAUGGGCGCAAGCCUGAUCCAGCCAUGCCGCGUGUAGGAAGACGGCCCUAUGGGUUGUAAACUACUUUUAUACGGGAAGAAACCUAUCCUCGUGAGGAUAGCUGACGGUACCGUAAGAAUAAGCACCGGCUAACUCCGUGCCAGCAGCCGCGGUAAUACGGAGGGUGCAAGCGUUAUCCGGAAUCAUUGGGUUUAAAGGGUCCGUAGGCGGGCUAAUAAGUCAGUGGUGAAAUGCAGGGGCUCAACUCCGGCACUGCCAUUGAUACUGUUAGUCUUGAAUUAUUGUGAAGUGGUUAGAAUAUGUAGUGUAGCGGUGAAAUGCUUAGAUAUUACAUAGAAUACCGAUUGCGAAGGCAGAUCACUAACAAUAUAUUGACGCUGAUGGACGAAAGCGUGGGUAGCGAACAGGAUUAGAUACCCUGGUAGUCCACGCCGUAAACGAUGGUUACUAGCUGUUUGGACGAAUUGACGUCUGAGUGGCCAAGCGAAAGUGAUAAGUAACCCACCUGGGGAGUACGUUCGCAAGAAUGAAACUCAAAGGAAUUGACGGGGGCCCGCACAAGCGGUGGAGCAUGUGGUUUAAUUCGAUGAUACGCGAGGAACCUUACCAGGGCUUAAAUGUAGUAUGACAGAUUUGGAAACAGAUUUUUCUUCGGACAUAUUACAAGGUGCUGCAUGGUUGUCGUCAGCUCGUGCCGUGAGGUGUCAGGUUAAGUCCUAUAACGAGCGCAACCCCUAUUGCUAGUUGCCAGCGAGUCAUGUCGGGGACUCUAGCGAGACUGCCGGUGCAAACCGUGAGGAAGGUGGGGAUGACGUCAAAUCAUCACGGCCCUUACGUCCUGGGCCACACACGUGCUACAAUGGUAGGGACAGAGAGCAGCCACCACGCGAGUGGGAGCGAAUCUAUAAACCCUAUCACAGUUCGGAUCGUAGUCUGCAACUCGACUACGUGAAGCUGGAAUCGCUAGUAAUCGCAUAUCAGCCAUGAUGCGGUGAAUACGUUCCCGGGCCUUGUACACACCGCCCGUCAAGCCAUGGAAGCUGGGGGUACCUGAAGUCGGUGACCGCAAGGAGCUGCCUAGGGUAAAACCGGUAACUGGGGCUAAGUCGUAACAAGGUUAGCCGUAA